ACCAAUCUACUAGGCUUUGAAUUUCAUGGGUAAUGUUUUGUUUUUGAAUGCAUGCAAGCAUGUUUCCGCCUUUAAUUGUUAAUUGCAUGCUAUAUGAUCUUGCUCAAAUGAACAUGUUUUCACAAAAUAAUCCUUGAAGUGGUAUCAGAGCCUAGGUCUAGUAGUUGGUGAAUCGUUUUUGAUUUUGUGGUUCAUAGUUUGUGAUUUAAAAGUUGUAAUAUGUUACAAGCUAUAUUCUUGUUUCUUUGAAUGUAAAUUUUGUUAGAAAAUUUGCCAUCUCAAAUGUUGUAGAUGUAGUUCAUAUGAGCAUGAAUAUUGGAGCUAAAAUUUGGUGCCAUGCUUUUGGGAAUUUUCGGCCAAAUCCAAAGGGUGGAUUUUUGGGUUCUUGUUUGACUUGUUAAAAGUGUUUUCAAGUAACUUUUGGAACCCCUAUGUACCCUAGUUUGGUUAGAUGUUAUUUCCCUAAAGUUUGAAUGGUUUUGGGAUGUUUUUGGAUGAAAAAUGUUCAUGGAAAUUUUUUGGGUUUUUCAUGAAUGUUCUUCAUUGUUCUUGACAUUUUUGCCAAGAACAAAAAGUUUUGUGUUUUGAUUCAAAGUUUUGAUUUAUUUCAUAAAGUUUAUGUUUUAUGUUUUUCAAAUGUUUAAUUGCAUUAGAUAUUUUUUUAAAUGGUGGUAGAUAUUAUGGUAGGUGUGAAAGGAUUAAUUCCCUUUCACACACACCACUUGCACCACUUGAUUGCUUUAUGUCAAAACUCACAAAUCAACACACACAUCACUCACACUCCUCUCCAAAACCGGCCACCCUACAUUAUAGGGUACUUUUGGAGCUUUUAUGCAAUUACAUAAAGUUUUGAUACUUUUGUGUAUUUGCACUUUGGCCCAAAAGUUUACGUUUUUACGUUUAGGUCCAAAAACGCUAAAGGACAAAUUGUUUUGCUCCUUUAAUGAAGUUUUUGCAUUGUUUAAAUUUUGGGUUCUAGUGUAAUUACAUGAAGUAGUGGACUUUUGUGUUCUUACAAAGUGACCCCAAAAGUUUAUGUUUUUGCAAUAUUGCCCAAAGGUUGUGGUAAUUGCAUUUUGGCCCAAAUUAGGUUGAGAACAAAAUUGUUUUGUCUCUUUAA
rnacentral:lncRNA from 1 species